rnacentral:rRNA from 1 species
GACAGAGGGGGCAAGCGUUGCUCGGAAUCACUGGGCGUAAAGGGCGCGUAGGCGGGAUGGCAAGUCAGUCGUGAAAUCUCUCGGCUCAACCGAGAAACGUCGGCUGAUACUGCCGUUCUUGAGGGAUGCAGAGGAGACUGGAAUUCCCGGUGUAGCGGUGAAAUGCGUAGAUAUCGUAAGGAAGACCAGUGGCGAAGGCGGGUCUCUGGACAGUUCCUGACACUGAGACACGAAGGCCAGGGGAGCAAACGGG